rnacentral:rRNA from 1 species
AACAUACCUACUGUUGCUUCGGCGGGAUUGCCCCGGGCGCCUCGUGUGCCCCGGAUCAGGCGCCCGCCUAGGAAACUUAACUCUUGUUUUAUUUUGGAAUCUUCUGAGUAGUUUUUACAAAUAAAUAAAAACUUUCAACAACGGAUCUCUUGGUUCUGGCAUCGAUGAAGAACGCAGCGAAAUGCGAUAAGUAAUGUGAAUUGCAGAAUUCAGUGAAUCAUCGAAUCUUUGAACGCACAUUGCGCCCGCCAGUAUUCUGGCGGGCAUGCCUGUCUGAGCGUCAUUUCAACCCUCAUGCCCCUAGGGCGUGGUGUUGGGGAUCGGCCAAAGCCCGCGAGGGACGGCCGGCCCCUAAAUCUAGUGGCGGACCCGUCGUGGCCUCCUCUGCGAAGUAGUGAUAUUCCGCAUCGGAGAGCGAUGAGCCCCUGCCGUUAAACCCCCAACUUUCCAAGGUUGACCUCAGAUCAGGUAGGAAUACCCGCUGAACUUAAGCAUAUCGAUAAGGCGGAGGACAACC